UACGUAAGGGGCAAGCGUUAUCCGGAUUUACUGGGUGUAAAGGGUGAGUAGGCGGUUCGGCAAGUCAUAUGUGAAAUUCUGAGGCUUAACCUCAGCGCUGCAUAAGAAACUGUCGGACUAGAGUGCAGGAGAGGCAAGCGGAAUUCCUAGUGUAGCGGUGAAAUGCGUAGAUAUUAGGAAGAACACCGGUGGCGAAGGCGGCUUGCUGGACUGUAACUGACGCUGAGUCACGAAAGCGUGGGGAGCGAACAGG
rnacentral:rRNA from 1 species